GGAUGACAAGAAUUGCAUUCACUCUUCAUGUGACAACUCACAGCUGAAAGAAUCUCAAGUAUUUUUUGGGAAUCUACAUAUCAAGAAUAAUAAAAAUUGCAAGAAAACUCAUGAGGGAGCGCAGAAGGAAGAAGGAAUAUAUGAACAAGUCUCCACACAGCAAAUAUCACCUCCAGUCAUAUUCAUACAAGAUAACGAGAUGACCCCUCUGCCACUUUCCUUCAAAGUUGAAACAGAGCUUGGGAAACAAACAGGAGAAGGUAGAAGCCAGCAUGCUACUAGAAAACCAUGAUUUGGCUGCCUUCACUGAAACCUGGUGGGAUGAUUCCCACAUUGGCUACAAGAUGUUCAGAAGGCAC
ensembl:lncRNA